rnacentral:tmRNA from 2 species
GGGGACGCGUGGGUUCGACAGGAGCGUCCUGUGGCGGAUUGCAAGCCGAGGUGUCAUCUACCCUCGUUAAACCGGUGGCAAACAAUAACUGGCGAACGUGAAUUCGCACUAGCCGCCUAAUAGCGGCUACGUCUGCUCUUCUCUAGUCCCGGAGGGGAGGAUGCAGGCGCCAUAAGUCUGGGAUGCAGUUGCUGUAAUGUCGAUAGCUAGCAGCUAAAGAUUUAUCGACUGGCCCCUGAUCGAUUCUGCCGAUAGAAGCUUACAAGGGUGAGACUAAAAUUAUCGGACAAGCUUGUAGUACAUCCGACUGUAGGGCCUUUUGGACGGGGAGUUCGACCCUCCCCCGUCUCCACCA